GACAUCAUAGCCAAGUGGUUACGGCGACAGAUUAGAAUAGUACCCCAAAGAUAAGCCUUGAUAUCUGUUUCCCUUUGGGAGCGCAGGUUCGAAUCCUGCUGGUGUCG